ACCAACGUUGCCUGAUGGCUGUUUUCUCCACGGGAAAGAGGAAGAGAGCAGGAGCAGCCUGGGGGGAGGGGGAGAGGGGGGCCUCCAGCGGGGCAUUUCAGAGGCGGGAAGAGAACAUCAUCAUCGGUGUAAUGCUCUUCCCGACUCUGCAUCAAGCUGCUGAGUGACCCACCGCGGGCAAACUCCCUUGUCAGCCUCCUGUGAGAUGCACAACUCCUCUGGAUCUUAGACAUCUCCUUUCUCCAGUGCUUUUUUUAAAAAAUACAUUUAACACCUCAUGAAAAACUGGAGUGCUGGGCUUAAAGACACGCACUACCACCGCCUGGCACUUUUGGGUAAUAUUCAUUUGCCAUGCCUCAAUUCAUGAAGAAACAUCGCUUGGCGAGAAAAUCCCAGCCGUUGGCAGCUGUAAGACAGGAGCACGAAUCCGGAAGCAACAGAAGUGGGGCCUCAGCCACUCCGUGUGCUUAGCAGGAGCGAGGCUUCGCAUUGCUGAGCUCUUCCAAAGUGUCCUCCCUGCACGAGGCCGCUGUUGACUAGGCUUUUAUGCUAACAAGCCAGAAAGGCAGCCUGUACUGCCAGCGUCGUUUUAUAAGGCAGCCCCACUGGAAGACGAUAUUUAAGGGUUAUACCACAGCAUUGAUCUUCAUAGAGUUGCUCCAUCAACUGGGAUCUCUAGCAUCAAGCAAAAAGUAACCUUUAAUGUUUUUUAAUUACAGCUAGGAGAUUUUAAAUUUUAAAUUUAGUUCGUUAAUUGUCAUUGUGCGCAUGUGAUAUGUGUAGGCAUGGUGGAGGUCAGGGGACCACAAUGUGAGUCUGUUCUCUGCGUCCACUUUGUGUGGGUUCUGAGUACUGAACUCAGGUUGCCUGGCUUGCUUGGCGAGCUUAGUGUCUUUGCCGAGGGAGCCAUGUCACAGCCUCACAAGACCAUUUUUCCAGGAAGAAGCCUUCACUUGGAGUUAAUUUAUAUAAUCUUGUGAGAAUGAAUUAAGAGAAUUCAUUGUGUCCUCCUAUACACAAGAUUAAAAGCACCAAGUUUAUAUACAAUAGCAGGCAAAGACACUGGCUGCCAAUGACCUAAGUUCAAUCCCUGGAACCCACGAGGUAGAAAGAGAGAUCGUCUGAGAGUUAGCCCCUGGGCUCCACCAUGGCAUACACGCACACGCACACACACGCACACACAUGUGUACCUUCUCACAACUAUAAAUAUAGUAACACUCUAAUAUGAUGGAUGUGGACAAAUUGCAAAUCUACAAGAAUAAAUGUAAUUUUUAAAAAUUAAAAAAGCUGUGAGCAUCCACUUCUGUAUUUGCCAGGCACUGGCAUAGCCUCACAAGAGACAGCUAUAUCAGGGUCCUGUCAGCAAAACCUCACAGUCAUCUAUUGGAUGGAACACAGGGCCCCUAAUGGAGGAGUUAUAGAAAGUACCCAAGGAGCUGAAGGGGUCUGCAACCCUAUUGGAGGAACAACAAUAUGAACUAACCAGUACUCCCAGAGCUCGUGUCUCUAGUUGUAUAUGUAGCAGAAGAUGGCCUAUUCGGCCAUCAAUGAGAGGAGAGGCCCUUGGUCUUGCAAAGAUUAUAUGCACUAGUACAGGGGAAUGCCAGGGCCAGGAAGCAGGAGUGG
rnacentral:lncRNA from 1 species